rnacentral:rRNA from 1 species
UACGAGAGGCCCAAACGUUAUUCGGAAUUACUGGGCUUAAAGAGUCCGUAGGCGGCGCGGAAAGUGGGGUGUGAAAGCCCUCGGCUCAACCGAGGAAUUGCGCUCCAAACUGCCGUGCUUGAGGAACCUAGAGGUGAGCAGAACUGAUGGUGGAGCGGUGAAAUGCGUUGAUAUCAUCAGGAAUACCGGAGGCGAAGGCGGCUCACUGGGGGUUUUCUGACGCUGAGGGACGAAAGCCAGGGUAGCGAACGGG